CUAUUUUAUGCCAUUCCAUUUCUCUCUGCAGAGUUCAACAGCAUAUUCAUCCAGUCAGAGGUACACCUUUCCUACAGGCAUCAGAGCUCUCCCUGCUUAUUCAUGUCCAGAAAUGAUAGCGUUUUAUCUCAGCGAUUAAAGAAGAUACUGUUUUAAGAAUCAUCCAACUAGUUACUGCCUGGAAACUCUCAACCAGAGAUGAGAGCAGCAACCAUAGGGCUCUUCCAUUAGCACACUGUUUGUUGCUCUAAGCAAGUUAACUGAAAUGGAGAAUCACUACCCAGGAUGGAA
rnacentral:lncRNA from 1 species